UACGUAGGGUGCAAGCGUUAAUCGGAAUUACUGGGCGGAAAGCGUGCGCAGGCGGUUUUGUAAGUCUGUCGCGAAAGCCCCGGGCUCAACCUGGGAAUUGCGAUGGAGACUGCAAGGCUUGAAUCUGGCAGAGGGGGGUAGAAUUCCACGUGUAGCAGUGAAAUGCGUAGAGAUGUGGAGGAACACCGAUGGCGAAGGCAGCCCCCUGGGUCAAGAUUGACGCUCAUGCACGAAAGCGUGGGGAGCAAACAGG
rnacentral:rRNA from 1 species